GUAGUAAUUUUACCGCAAUUUGUGUUUUCAUAACCUGCAUGGUUUAUCUAUGAUUUUUGAAAAUAAAUGUAUUACUGAUGCUUUGAAAUUGCAUGUGGGACAAGUCCUUUACUUGAUAUGAUACCGAACAGUUUACUUGAGAUGUUAAUUGCCUGUGGGACAAGUCCUUUAGUUGAUAUGAUACCGAAGAGUUUACUUGAGACGUUUACUGAUUAAUCAAAUAUUUUCACUGUUACUAGAUAUAUUUUACCGUUACUUGAGACAUGAUUUCAGGUACCGAAAUAAAAUUACAAGAUUUGAAAAGGAAUGAUAUGCCCUUUAUUAUUUUGAAAAUGCUUCUUUACGAGUAUUUAUGGUUUAUAAGAAAGAAUAUAAAUGGGCGGAGACUUUGAAAGAUGCAGUAGCUAAUGACGGGUUCGUUAGACCUGGUGCAACUUGUAUUUACAGAUUACAGAGUAUAGUUAUAGCCCUCGCUAGUGGAAGGUAGAACUAGCACACCGUUACCAAUUUCCAUCGAGUAGGGACUACAAUUAUAUUUGACUUCUUGCGAAGAAGUCCACAGUUAUCCUUAUUACAUGAUCGUUCAUUGAAAUCUCCCAAAAUGUGAAUACUGAUAUUAUACAGUGGUUACCGAGCUUAUUACUGAAUUAUUAAUUNNNNNNNNNNNNNNNNNNNNNNNNNNNNNNNNNNNNNNNNNNNNNNNNNNNNNNNNNNNNNNNNNNNNNNNNNNNNNNNNNNNNNNNNNNUGUGAUGAGAUUGAAAAUUAUUUAUUGUUUCUGAAAGGGCAUUUUUAUGUAUUUUCUCUUUGAUAUACUAGCAUGUUUCUGACUUGUCCCGAAAUAAAAACGGUUGUGGUUAAGUGUUAUUACUCACUGAGCUUGCGACUCAUUCCUCGUUAAUUUUUUUUACAGAGACAGCAGCUGACGUAGACGAGGAUUUCAUUAAUUAGAGCGUACAUGUUAAGAAUUCUUGGUGAGCCUCGCACUUGUUCGCGUGGGCGGAGGUUUUCAUCAAUUGUUAUAGUCCUCCCUUUUAAGUCUUAGAGUCGCUCCAUAGUCAUUCGUUUAGUGUCAUGAGUAUUAUUUUGCUAUUAGUCUUAUGUCGAGUAUCGUUCUUUAUUAUCAAAGUUAGAGAUGAAUUAGUAUUUCCGGUUGUUAGUGGAUUGAUUAGUAGUGGCAAAGGCUAUUUUGGUUAAUUGAUAAGUUAUAGAUUGUUUGAAUUGCUAUUAGGAUGUUUGGUUGCUGAUUUGAGACAGGGAAAUUUUUGGGAUGGUCCAAAAAUAGGGAAAAUUUUGUCCGAUUUUUUGUAAAAUUUCCGAUGAGGCUUACUUGGGAGCACUUGCUCCUAAGCGCCGGUCACAAUUCUAAAUCGGGUCGUGACAAAGUUGGUAUCAGAGCUUAGGCUUUACGUCUCAAGUCAUGGAGCAUUGUUUAGUAGAGUUUUGUUCAUGGGUACGUAGGCGCCCAUAGUUAUGAGUUUGAGGCUACUUAUCAUCUAGGAAUUUUUUCCCUUUUUUCAUUCUUUGAUCGUGCGUUGAGAUAACUUGAGAUUGACUUUGGAAUAUUUCUUUCGCAGUUGGCUAGGACACGUAGACCCUCAUCUGCUGGACGUGGUUUUGGACGUGGUACUACUCGAGGUGGAGGUCAAGUUGGGGUUCAUCAAACUAGAAGACAUACUUCUACUCAACCUCAAGUUGGGAACAUGGGUCAAACCCAAGAAGUUAUGCCAGAUCAAGUGCAAGAGCAGGGAGUUCAGAACGCUCCACCACCAGUGCCAACUGUUGUAUCUACUAUUGCCUUACCUGCAUAUGCAGUGGAAAGGUUAUUAAAUGUGUUAGAGGCAAUGUUGCCUACUCAUAGAGGAAGUUCAGCUCCUCAGGCUAGCUUAUAGACAAAAGCACCGGCACGGACUCAGACUUUCGGAAAUAAGGAAGUAUCCCUACAAGAGUUUCACAUGGGUACCUACUCUGGGAGGAAGUUCUAACUCCUCAGGCUACUUUAUAGACACAAGCACCAGCACAGACUCAUACUUUCGGAAACAAGGAAGUAUCCCUACAAGAGUUUUUGAAUUUGAAAUCACCAAAAUUCACAGGUUCCGAUAAUUCAGCAGAUCCUCAAGGUUUCUUGGAUGAGACACUCAAGGCAUUACGUUCUCUUAGAUGUUCUAGUGAGAGAGCCGUGGAGCUCGCAGCAUACAAAUUAUAGGAUAUGGCCAACACAUGGUAUGAAACUGUAUUGCUAAGAAGGCCAGCAAGAGCAGCACCACUGACACGGGAUGAGUUCACUAAGUUGUUCAAGAAUCACUUUCUUCCAGACAGUCUAAUGCAACAAUAUGCCACAGACUUUGAGAGAUUGGUUCAGACUCCAGAUAUAGACGUGUCAACAUAUAACACUAAGUUCUGUGAGCUGGUUGUAUAUGCUCCUCACUUAGUGUCUACCGAAGAAGCUCGAGUUCAGAGGUUUGUUAAUGGAUUAGUUGGUUGUUUAUACACUGCAGUAGCCCUACCGAUGAAGACUUUAUCCUACUCUGAUAUAGUCGACCUUGCUAGAAAGAUUGAAAAUAAGGGAUGUGAGGAGCAUGCAGUUAGUGAUUUACGUAAGAAGGCCAAGACAGGAGGGGCUUUCAGUGGUCGUUUUAGUGACAAUAGAAGAGCGGGAAAUCAGGGACAACAACAACAGGGUUCUCAGAAAGGGACACACAUGUUUUCACAGUCCACAUAUAGACCACCCUACAGGCAGGGUAAUAGGGGACCAUCAUCUUCUGGACAUCGUAAUUUUGGGCAUAUAUAUGCCACUACUCUAGUCUGUCAGACUUUUGGUAGCUCACAUUUUGGCCAAUGUCGUGUUCUAACUAGAGAGUGUUUUCGGUGUGGCCAGUUGGAACAUCACUUGAGGGAUUGCCCUCAGCCUCCGAGAAAUUUCAAUCAGGCUCCUAUUCAGUCAGUUGAACCGACUCAAACUACUCGUAAUACUUUAGGAGCUACAGGUACAGGAAAUAGAGGUCGAGGUGAUGGAGACCAUGCUACUGUGAAUCAAGGACAAGGCAAUGCUGGUAGAGGUCAGGCGAGAGUUUUUGCAUUUACUAGACAUGAUGCUCAGGCGUCGAAUGUCGUGGUUACAGGUAUUCUUUCUGUCUUUUCAUUUGAUGCACUUGCUUUGAUUAAUCUGGGAUCUACCCACUCCUAUGUGUCCUCGUACUUUGCUUUGAGAUUUAGUAGACAGCCCGAGCUAUUGAAUGAUCCUUUUAUAGUUGCUACCCUUGUUGGAGAGUCUCUAUUAGCUGAAUACGUGUACCGUGCUUGUCAAAUUCGGGUUGAUGAGUAGAGAUACUCUAGGUGACCUUAUUGUACUUGAUAUGAUUGACUUUGACAUGCUGGCGGGAAUGGAUUGGUUAUCUUCUUGCUAUGCCAUAAUCGAUUGUCAUGCAAAGAUAGUAAGGUUUGAGAUACCAAAUGAACCCAGUUUUACUCUAAGAGGGAGUCGGGUUCCAGAGACUUGCAAAAUUGUAUCUUCUAUGAAGGCUCAACGACUUCUGAAGAAAGGUUGCUUGGGUCUCUUAGCUAUAGUAAACGACACUAGAAAGGAAACAGUUAGCAUAGAAAAUGUACCCGUAGUGAGAGAAUUUUCUGAUGUCUUUCCUGAGGAUUUACUAGGAUUAACUCCAGUACGAGAAAUAAACUUUGGUAUUGAUUUACUUCCUGACACACAACCCAUAUCGAUACCCCCAUAUUGAAUGGCACCAGCAGAGUUGAGGGAGUUAAAGCAACAGUUACAAGAUUUGUUUGACAAGGGUUUUAUUAGACAUAGUGUAUCACCAUGGGGUGCGCCAGUACUGUUCGUAAAGAAGAAAGAUGGAUCUCUGAGAAUGUGCAUUGACUACAGGCAGUUGAACAAGAUAACAAUACGCAAUAAAUAUCCUUUGCCUCGUAUAGCUGACAUGUUUGNNNNNNNNNNNNNNNNNNNNNNNNUGAACAAGAUAACAAUACGUAAUAAAUAUCCUUUGCCUCGUAUAGAUGACAUGUUUGAUCAGUUACAAGGAGCUGCCCAUUUUUCAAAGAUUGACCUCCAUUCUGGUUAUCAUCAACUUAGAAUCAAAGAUGAAGAUAUUUCUAAGACUGCUUUCAGGAAUCGAUACGGGCACUCUGAGUUUCUUGUGAUGCCUUUCGGACUGACAAAUACUCCAGUUGCAUUCAUGGAUUUAAUGAAUAGGGUGUCCAAGCCGUUUCUGGAUAGAUUUGUAAUAGUAUUUAUUGAUGAUAUCCUGAUAUGUUCUCGUAGCCAAGGAGAAUACGAGAAUCAUCUCAGGACUGUGUUGCAAACAUUGCGAGAACAUCGGCUUUAUGCUAAGUUUUCAAAGUGUGAAUUCUGGCUAGACUCGGUAGCAUUUUUGGGGCAUGUUGUAUCCAUAGAUGGAAUUAUGGUAGAUCCUAAAAAGACUGAAGCUAUGCAGAAAUGGACCAGACCUACUUCUCCUAUAGAGAUAUAUAGCUUUUUAGGAUUUGCAGGCUAUUACAGGCAUUGUGUGCAGGUGCAAAAGUGGCCCAGACCUACCUCUCCUACAGAGAUUCACAACUUUUUAGGCUUAGUAGGCUAUUACAGGCGUUUUGUGCAGGAUUUCUCCAAAAUAGCAGCACCACUGACCAAACUAACACAGAAAAAUACAAAGUUUCAGUGGACGGAGGAAUGUGAGCAGAGCUUUCAAAAACUCAAAACAUGUUUGACAAUUGCACCAAUAUUAGCCUUACCAUCAGGUUUCGGAGGAUUUACUGUAUUCUGUGACGCUUUGAGGGUGGGAUUAGGAUGUGUUCUCAUGCAAAAUAGUCGUGUUAUUGCUUAUGCUUCGAGACAAUUGAAAAAGCCCAAGCAAAACUAUCCUACACAUGAUUUAGAGAUGGCUGCAGUGGUAUUUGCUCUAAAAAUUUGGAGUCAUUAUCUAUAUGGCGAAACUUGUGAGAUUUAUACAGACCAUAAAAGUCUGAAGUAUAUCUUUCAGUAGAGAGAUCUAAAUCUUCAGCAGCGUCGUUGGAUGGAACUACUAUAAGACUAUGAUUGUUCUAUUUUGUAUCAUCCUGGAAAAGCCAAUGUGGUGGCUGAUGCCUUGAGUAGAAAAUCUAUGGGGAGUUUUGGCAUAUAUAGCCCCUGCAAAGAGACUUUUGGCUAGAGAUAUUCAGAGACUAGGAGAUACAGGUAUCAGAUUUAGGACAAGAGGCUAUGGACAAGGUCCAAUUGAUCAGGCAGAGAUUGCUUGCAGCUCAAAGCAGACAAAAGUCUUAUGCUGAUAAGAGAAGAAGAGAUUUAGUAUUCACAAUUGGAGACAAAGUGUUCCUACGAGUAUCCCCUAUGAAAGGUGUGAUGCGGUUUGGAAAAAGAGGCAAGUUGAGCCCCAGGUUUAUAGGACCGUAUGAGAUAUUGGACCGAGUGGGAGUGGUGGCUUAUCGUUCGGCACUUCCUCCUGAGUUGUCCUUUAUUCAUCCAGUGUUUCAUGUCUCAAUGCUAAGAAAAUGUAUAUCAGACGCAUCUCAGGUGCUUGAAGCACCAACUAUACCGCUUGAUGAGAGGUUGUCUUACCAGGAGGAGCUGAUGACAAUUGUUGAUAGACAAGUAAGAAAAUUACGGUCCAAUGAAAUUGUGUUCGUUAAGGUUCUAUGGAGAAAUCAUACAAUUGAAGAAGCUAAUUGAGAAGUAGAAGAUACUAUACGAGUCAAGUACCCCUAUUUAUUUCAGUCUACACGUACGUACUUGAAUUAAAUUGGGGGACCGAAUUUCAUGAGGUGGGGAGAAUGAAAUACCCUAUAUUUAAAAGAGGGCGUAUUGGUCAUUAUAAUAAUAAUAAUAAUAAUUACAAUAAAGUAACUAAAUAAAAAAAAGGAAUAGGCAUAAUAUCAAUGGGCUUAGCCCAUGUCGGACUAGGGAGAAAAAAAUAUAUAUACUAAGAGAAAUAAAUGGGCCGAUCCCACCAUAAAUCUUACACUACGGGAGUUAGGGAUUUGGGGGGAGGCAUAUCCAAGAUUAAAGAAUCAAAAGGGAAUAGAGAGGAAAGCUUUACCUGGAGCAAGAUACUGGAAAACUUAACCCAAAAAAAAACCAAGGUGGAAUACUUCAGCAACGUGAAAGAAGGUUUAGGAGAAUAAAGUUUUGUCAUUAAAACAUACAUUGCCUUAUAGAGGUUAAUGUUAAUUUGAUUCUAUUUAAUUUGUUUCCCCGAGUAUCUGAGCUUUCAUUCGAAACUGAAGCUAAAUUCUAGUGAGAAAGAUGAUAUAUAUAAAUUUAAUUGGGUUUAGCUAUGCACAUAUUUGGGUAUAACCUAUUUUGAAGAAUAUUUGAGAUCGUUUGAGUUUGAAUUCUUUAGAUCUUUAAAUUUGAUAUUGGAAUUUUGUUGGUUCUUAAUUAUAAUGGGUAGCAUUAGGCUCGAAUUUUUUUUAUUAUGAUAAGGUUAUUGCCUCAUGUUCGACUCAUGAACUGAGAAAUAAAGAAUGACAGGGACUACUUUGGUAGGUCUUGUGUAGCCUAAUUAAGGAUUAUUUCCAGUGGAAUCAGGAGGAAAUUUGAUAGAAUAAAACCCGAGUAUGUCGGUAGUUCAUGAAGUUGAUACUUAACUAGUGUUUUUGAUAAUAUAGAUUGACUGAAGGAAGUUGUACGAACUGCUCGAAUUGAAGCGCUUGGUAUUUGCAAUUUGUGUUUUCAUAACCUGCAUGGUUUAUCUAUGAUUUUUGAAAAUAAAUGUAUUACUGAUGCUUUGAAAUUGCAUGUGGGACAAGUCCUUUACUUGAUAUGAUACCGAACAGUUUACUUGAGAUGUUUACUGAUUAAUCAAAUAUUUUCACUGUUACUAGAUAUGUUUUACCGUUACUUGAGACAUAAUUUCUGUUACCGAAAUAAAACUACAAGAUUUGAAAAAGAAUGAUAUGCCCUUUAUUAUUUUGAAAAUGCUUCUGUACGAG
rnacentral:lncRNA from 1 species